CCCUUAGAUGUUCUGGGCUGCACGCGCGCUACACUGGUGCACUCAACAAGUUUACAACCUUGAUCGAUAGGUCUGGGUAAUCUUUUGAAUAUGCACCGUGCUAGGGAUAGAUUAUUGCAAUUAUUAAUCUUGAACGAGGAAUUCCUAGUAAACGCAAGUCAUCAACUUGCAUUGAUUACGUCCCUGCCCUUUGUACACACCGCCCGUCGCACCUACCGAUUGAAUGGUCCGGUGAAGCCUCCGGAUUGGCGCGCACCUCGGUGCCGCCGAGAAGUUGGCUAAACCUUACCAUUUAGAGGAAGGUGAAGUCGUAACA
rnacentral:rRNA from 1 species